CUUUGUAAAGGCUUUUUUGAAGUUAAAGCUAUCUGUAGUGACUUUGGAAUUUUAAGAAAUAUAAAGAGCUUAUACUUUGAAGAAUUUUGUGAGAUUGGUAAAUGAUCUAUGAGUGAAAAUUUGUAAUUGAGUGGUUGAUAUUUUAUGAAAUCUAUGUUGUAAGUUUAAGCUUAAUUUAACUAUUCAUUCAAAUAUUAUUAAAAUUUAAACAUAUUAGAGUCUUAAAAAAUUGGAGUUUAGAGGACUAAUGAAUAUUUAUAAGAUGUACAACAAUCUGAAUGUUGGAUUGAAUUAAAAUUUUGAAAAUA
rnacentral:lncRNA from 1 species